CUUUUUCUUGCAACUGUAUAAAACUAAAUACAUUGACGUCUUGUGCCACUGUUAAGCCGACAUGCCAGACAUGUACAUAUGACCUAACCAACACUUCCUUUCUGUAAUAACAAGUCAUGCUUAUGUACACUAUAGAUGGGCCUUUGCACAGGCCUACUGUUAAAACUUACCACUGAAAAAUUUUGACUUACUGUACCAUGGCUACACGAUUGUGCUCGACAUGAUGAACAUUUAACCUAACCAUACCUUUCCUUCUGUAAAAACAUGUCAUGCUUAUAUGCACUAUAAAGGGGUCUCUGCGCAGACCCACUGUAACAUUUUUUAUGUCG